UACGGGGGGGGCAAGCGUUGUUCGGAAUUACUGGGCGUAAAGGGCUCGUAGGCGGCCAACUAAGUCGGACGUGAAAUCCCCAGGCUCAACCUGGGAACUGCGUCUGAUACUGGAUGGCUUGAAUCCGGGAGAGGGAUGCGGAAUUCCAGGUGUAGCGGUGAAAUGCGUAGAUAUCUGGAGGAACACCGGUGGCGAAGGCAGGUCUCUGGGCCAUAACUGACGCUGAGAAGCGAAAGCAUGGGGAGCGAACAGG
rnacentral:rRNA from 1 species